CUUCCCACUUACGUAAGACUAGAGGUUGACCAUCAAAAAUCCACGGCCUCUUAUUCAUUAUCCACUCCAUAUCCUUCACCUUUUCAAACACAAACUGAAACAGAUUGCGUCCUAUCUCCACUACCUUCCCAAUCCUCACCUGAGACCACAUACUUCCUGCAAAAUUCCUUAUACCACCAACAUUUGCCCGCUUAUCCCCCAGACCUUCCCGAUUAAACUCAACUUGCACUCCUCCACACCAGGAGCCAGUUCCUCAUCAUCUAGACUAACUCCUUCUCUUUCCCCAUCCGAGAGCUUAAACCUUCUGAGAACUUCCUCUAUACCAUCCAUCACCUUCCUCUACAGACCACACUCGAAGAUGACCAGAGAGCUACCAAUCCAGCUCAUAUCCAGAACCAGCAGAUCCCCGAUACCUCCACCAAGCUCCAAAACCAACUGGCCCUGUCACAGAAGAAGCAAACAAACGGAAAAGCAGCAAGAAGACACAACACCGAAAGAGCAGAAACCUAAAAUCAUAACAAUACGGAGAAACAAAAGAGACACAGAUGUAAAAGAUACAAACACUGCUCGGAAGAAAAGAAAGCAAACUGAGAGAUCAAAUCUAGAAAACUGCCGCGAAAAUUAAAAGGAUGGAAGGAAUCAGAAGGUUGCCAUGAAAGGAAAGUUACUUAGCUUGCCGCCUAGUUCUUUCCAUUUUUAAAAUUUUGAAAGUUUCGAAGAAGAUACACACCCACUGGGGAGACUUUCUCUCUCUAAGACAGAGAGAAUUUUCCUCUCAUAGUGAGAGAGCAGAACGCGUGUUAGUUCUUCCUCCCAGAUUCUUAUUCUCUCUGUUUUUUGUGUUAUUUUUUUGGCUGCCGACCUGGUUUCACUUGGACUUCAUAUUUUAGGCUUUUGGCUACUGGACUACAAACGCUUCUUUUCCUCUUUGUUUCCGUGUUUGUUCCAGUGCGUGUAACUUCGACACAAGAAGGACGCAGAAAACUCUAAGAAGGCAAGACUUGAUAUAGCAUACGUUCACAGUACCUCGACUCGCGGCUGACGCGCCAUGCACUGCGCAAGGUACUGACGGAAUUGAAAGAAAUCAAAAGAGGCAGCCAAGCAGACACUAAAAAGAAAAUUUUGUUCACUGUACUGUUGCCUUUUUGUUGAUCUCUUCAAUGCCUAAAAAUUGUUUCUUUUGUUUCCCACUCCCACUCCGAGGAACUUAGCCCAAUCCCCCGCUACCAUUAAUUUAUAGUAUUUGCUUAACAUGCAGAAAAGUGUAUACUCGUCAGCUGCUUACCCAAUUUAGGGACUAUACUAUACUUGCCACUGUUAGACAACCUGCACAUAUGUAUCCUACGGUUCCAAUUUCUCUCUUAGGAGGAGACAUAAAUA
rnacentral:lncRNA from 1 species